GGACGAACGCUGGCGGCGUGCUUAACACAUGCAAGUCGAACGGAGUGCCUAUGAUAGAGACUUCGGUCAAUGGAUUAGGUUACUUAGUGGCGGACUGGUGAGUAACGCGUGAGGAACCUGCCUUUCAGAGGGGGACAACAGUUGGAAACGACUGCUAAUACCGCAUGACACAUCGAUGGGGCAUCCCGUUGAUGUCAAAGAUUUAUCGCUGAAAGAUGGGCUCACGUCUGAUUAGCUAGUUGGUGAGGUAACGGCUCACCAAGGCUGCGAUCAGUAGCCGGACUGAGAGGUUGAACGGCCACAUUGGGACUGAGAUACGGCCCAGACUCCUACGGGAGGCAGCAGUGGGGAAUAUUGGGCAAUGGGCGAAAGCCUGACCCAGCAACGCCGCGUGAAGGAAGAAGGCCUUCGGGUUGUAAACUUCUUUUAUCAGGGACGAAGGAAGUGACGGUACCUGAUGAAUAAGCCACGGCUAACUACGUG
rnacentral:rRNA from 1 species